UACGACCCAGGUUGGGAACUGUCCACCAUCUGAAUGGCCCUGCUCCAUCGUGGAGCUCUAGAAUCUUCCUAUGAUGCCUGGCCAUUGUCAGUCAACUCACAGCAGAGGCUGGCUCACCUGAUGCCAGUUAAUUCUCGGAGGCAGGGGAGACUGCAACCUCGCUUUCAGGAGUGGGCUGCAGUGACCUUCGUCCACCUUGCCUUGGGCCAGUCGUCAGUAUCCCUUGAUGCCA
rnacentral:lncRNA from 1 species